rnacentral:lncRNA from 1 species
GGGGGUUUAUGACAAAGUUGAGCGACCUCAUGUCACUCAAACCAGCUGUAUUAAGGAAGGUGCAAGCUUUUGGGAUUUCUGUUUGGAUUUAGUUUAGGUUCAAAAGAGCACGCACAGAUCCUGAGUGUUGUCAAGCACCCGUGACUGGGAAACGGAGGCGUCCGAUCCGUAUUGGAGUCAAUUCGCCACUUAAUUGAACACAGCCUCGAAGGGAAGGGCCAUAUUUGUGGGCCUGUCUAACAAUUAAGAGUGACCACAUGGAAUGGGGGAUGAAAGGGUUAAAGAAGAACAAAUAUUGAACACAGCUUUUCUAUGAACAAACUGCAGGCAGCUGCUGCUUUGCAAGGGGAACUUCUUGGCUGCCAUUUCUGGAUGUCAAGGCUGCAGAUACACUGGUCAGGACCCUGGGUAGAGAGAGAUGCGUCAGAAUGCGGCUCCUUUCAGAAAGGCUUCUCCGGAGGGAAGCAGUUGAUUGAGAAUAAUGGUUCUGUUUUGGAGGUUGAUGGAAGAUGCCCUUUGGCCAGGAAAACAGCUCAUGCUUUUAGAGGAGGAUAAUUGCCAGAAGGCCUCUCUGAAUAAAAAAAAAUCCUGACCUCACAGCCUUUGCGCUUACUUGGGUUAGAAUGCCACAGUGAACAUUGCCCCUUGUCAUCACGUAGAGGUGCUCACAGAAAAACCCUUUGAAAAGAUUCAGCACGUUGCCAUGGAGAACAUCCCACUGAAGGAAUGUAUAGAAGUAGCAGGUGUCAGCUGCCUACCAGUUGCUUUCAUCUCUAGAAAUCUGUGACUUGCAGUAUGACAAGAACAAAAGGUGACAAUACAAAGGACAAAGGGCAAGGAAUACAGACGGAGAAGCCGCUUAGAGUCUAGGAUGGCAGAGGUUCUCUUGAUCAUUUCAUUUUUGAGCGCUUGUAGAGCUUUGGUGUACCAGAGGUGCUUGAACAGCUUACCACACCACAGAUGAAUGGCCUUUGGAUUUCUCCUAAGAAAAUGUGGCUACCUGAAAUUCAACUCCAUUUUCUGGUCUUCAAUAUUUCUUUUGUGUUCAGUUUGCCAGCUGAGGAGAAGUGGCUAAGCAUAGCCUGUUACUGAUGCUAAAGCCCAAGUUCUGAACCUAACAACUCCAGCAACAUGAUCCUGUUUCAAGAGACAAAAAAGUGACUAAUGAAAGAAAACAAUUGAUGUGCUAUGUAGAGUUUAAAAGAAGGGUGGCUCAUUAAUGGGACCUCUCCAGAGGAAGUAAAGAUGAAGUAUUGGCAGC